UACGAAGGGGGCUAGCGUUGUUCGGAAUUACUGGGCGUAAAGCGCGCGUAGGCGGUGAUCUUUGUCAGAGGUGAAAGUCUGGGGCUCAACUCCAGAAUUGCCUUUGAAACGGGAUCGCUUGAGUCCGAGAGAGGAUGGCGGAAUUCCUAGUGUAGAGGUGAAAUUCGUAGAUAUUCGCAAGAACACCAGUGGCGAAGGCGGCCAACUGGUCCGGUACUGACGCUGAGGUGCGAAAGCGUGGGGAGCAAACAGG
rnacentral:rRNA from 1 species